rnacentral:rRNA from 1 species
CCUACGGGGGGCAGCAGUGGGGAAUAUUGGACAAUGGGGGCAACCCUGAUCCAGCCAUGCCGCGUGUGUGAAGAAGGCCCUCGGGUUGUAAAGCACUUUCAGUGAGGAAGAACGCCUGGUGGUUAAUACCCAUCAGGAAAGACAUCACUCACAGAAGAAGCACCGGCUAACUCCGUGCCAGCAGCCGCGGUAAUACGGAGGGUGCGAGCGUUAAUCGGAAUUACUGGGCGUAAAGCGCGCGUAUGUGGCUUGAUAAGCCGGUUGUGAAAGCCCCGGGCUCAACCUGGGAACGGCAUCCGGAACUGUCAAGCUAGAGUGCAGGAGAGGAAGGUAGAAUUCCCGGUGUAGCGGUGAAAUGCGUAGAGAUCGGGAGGAAUACCAGUGGCGAAGGCGGCCUUCUGGACUGACACUGACACUGAGGUGCGAAAGCGUGGGUAGCAAACAGGAUUAGAUACCCCUGUAGUC